CGCCUCUUGAUAAAUUAUAAGAGGUCUAGCCUGCCCAGUGAAAAAUUUAACGGCCGCGGUACCCUGACCGUGCGAAGGUAGCAUAAUCACUUGUUCUUUAAAUAGGGACUCGUAUCAACGGCAUCACGAGGGUUACACUGUCUCCUCCCUCCAAUCAGUGAAACUGAUCUUCCCGUGAAGAAGCGGGAAUAUAAUUAUAAGACGAGAAGACCCCAUGGAGCUUUAAAUUUUACAGCAACUCAGUCAAACAAGCCCUUAUAAUCCACAGAGCCAUGCAUUACAAUUUUAGGUUGGGGUGACCGCGGAGUAAAAAUUAACCUCCACGACGAAAAGAACUAAAUCUUUAUCCAAGAGUUACAACUCUAAGAAUUAGAACACUAACGACAAUGACCCGAUAAUCGAUCAACGGACCAAGUUACCCUGGGGAUAACAGCGCAAUCUACUUCGAGAGCUCAUAUCGACAAGUAGGCUUACGACCUCGAUGUUGGAUCAGGGUAUCCCAGUGGUGCAGCCGCUACUAAUGGUUCGUUUGUUCAACGAUUAAAACCCU
rnacentral:rRNA from 1 species